GCUCGUGUUGUGANAUGUUGGGUUAAGUCCCGCAACGAGCGCAACCCUUAUCCUUUGUUGCCAGCGGUUCGGCCGGGAACUCAAAGGAGACUGCCGGUGAUAAACCGGAGGAAGGUGGGGAUGACGUCAAGUCAUCAUGGCCCUUACGACCAGGGCUACACACGUGCUACAAUGGCGCAUACAAAGAGAAGCGACCUCGCGAGAGCAAGCGGACCUCAUAAAGUGCGUCGUAGUCCGGAUUGGAGUCUGCAACUCGACUCCAUGAAGUCGGAAUCGCUAGUAAUCGUGGAUCAGAAUG
rnacentral:rRNA from 1 species